rnacentral:hammerhead_ribozyme from 1 species
AUCCAGCUGACAAGUCCCGAAUAGGGUGAAACGCACGUCGUGGAU